CAAUAGCGUAUAUUAACGUUGUUGCAGUUAAAAAGCUCGUAGUUGGAUUUCUGGAGGGAGCGUCGGCCCGUAUUUACGAGUGCGUGACGUCUCUGUCCAUCCUUGCGGGAAGGCACGGCAUUGAUUUGUUGUGUCGGAUCGCAUCAUUUACUGUGAAAAAAUUAGAGUGUUCAAAGCAGGCUUUCGCUUGAAUACAUUAGCAUGGAAUAAUAAGAUAGGACUUUGGUGCUAUUUUGUUGGUUGAGCCUAAAGUAAUGAUUAAUAGGGAUAGUUGGGGGCACCUGUAUUGCGUUGUCAGAGGUGAAAUUCUUGGAUUUACGCAAGACAAACAGCUGCGAAAGCGUCUGCCAAGGGUGUUUUCAUUA
rnacentral:rRNA from 1 species